GGACGGCCUGGCCGGAGCGCGCGGGCGACGAAAGUUUUGUUCGAACGGACAAGAUCCGAAUUCUGAAGAACUGUCCAUACUGUUUUAGGGGGGCGCAUCCGUCUCUCCGGCCGGUGCUCUCUUGCCUGAACCGGAGGAGGUAUCAGGGCACGAUCAGGUGGCAUGAAGCAUAGGCGCGAGUUGCUUCCAAUAUGUGUCCAUGGCAAGCUGAUUAAGCUUCCCGGAUGGGUGGAAAUUGUACUUGUUCUCGAUCGGCCUCUGCAGUCCGGAUGAUUUGUUUAUUAGAAAUGAAUACAGGAAAAAUAAAGGAUCUGAAGAAAGCAAUCAAAAAUCAUUCAAACUUGGUUAGCUUCAGUUUGGAUAGCUCGUCUGCUCCAUUUUUUUUUGUUCCACUUGAUGACUGACACAGUGCUAAAGUACUGUCGCUGUAAAUAAUUCAAACCAAUCGUUAUAAAUUAUUGUUGCCCUAAAUUUUGUGAUGUUCACAGCAAUCUGUACAAGUAAUGCAAGUUAGAGCAUCUCUAGCAUAUCCCAUAUAANGCUGCCGCGGCCGACCUCAACCACCACUGUUGUCGAUCUCAACCCACCCGCCUCAGCGGCCGUACCUCUGCCCGCUUGCUGCCCCCGUUUCGGCGCUCGAACACAGCUUCUGGGUCAAAUAAACGCGACAGCUAUAGUGACUGGGGAUGAUGCGUCUGUUCGAUGCAGAACGGCGGCGAUGCGCAGAUAAGGCACGGCGGAGCGAAGUACUUGCAGGUGGAGGCGGGCCUCCAUGGCUCACACGGGAAACUCCGAGGUUAUGGCGCGGCAACGACGACUCCUUAUGGCGAGAUAGAGGUUCCUAACCCUUGCUCCCCUCGUCGUAUCCCCUCCUCCGGCAGGAACUCAUCAUCUGGUGAGAUCCCCUCCCCAUGCCUCCAACCGUGUGCCAAGGAUCGGUCAGAAAUUUUGUUUUGUGGGAAUUUGUUUGCUGAUGAAUGAAUGUAUUGAAUAUAAGAUUACACUGUUGUAGAGACAGAGAAUGGAACACCACCUUCAGUUUAUCAUCUGAUCCCACAUUCUCUACCCCAUGAGUGAAAUAAGAUAACAGUCCAUUGAUCAAUUCAGGUAGCCUAUUUGUUUUGCUUUGCUUGUUCCGUUUAAUUUUUCAUUAUGGUCGAAUUAACAAUGGACGGGUUAAUUUUUCAACAAAAUAGGAUAGAACUGACUACAUUAGUUAGUUAGCUUANUUGCAUCGCACGUGCCCUUUUGCUAGUUAUAGUUGAACAAAGUAGAUCUUUUCAACUACAAUUAAUUAGGUAUAAAAAAUAUAUUAUACAUUUAAAUCCUUGUAUAUUCUUGCAUUUGAAGACUGUUUCUUUCUUUUCCGUUAAUAAAUAUGGCUGCAUGCAGGCCGGGUUAACCUCCUUCUUUUUCAUAAAGUCCUUGUAUAUUAUUGAUUUUAUAUGGAGUUUUUCAUUUUUGCUUAAUUAGAACACUUAAAUGUACAAUAGUUAAGGUAUAUAUCUACAUGUGCCUCAUACGAACUCAAAUGAAAAGCAUUGCAUCUCAUAUCGCACGAUACUAACAAAAAUAAGGAAGCCUACAUCAAGAGUAUCUAGACACUCUUGGAUUGGAUGCCGCUUUUACGUCUAGACACCAGUCCAAAUGUCUAAAAAUGACCAGCAUUCCGGUAUCGCCAAAAUCUCGAAAGGAUAUAGGACGCUCGGACACGCCCAUGACAUUGCACUAACCUGGAGGGCCCGCACCAAUUCACGUGUAUUCGCCCCCCUCCCCUCCUUGCCAUCGAAGGUCAGCGCCACCGGACGAUGCCACCGGACUUUGAAAACAGUAUGUCAAACUAUGUACCCUCUCGGAUUCAGACGAUAGAUGUCAAAAUGAUUGAACUUUUAAAAACAAGCAUGUCCAUCACUGUUUGCGUUAUGAGGGAUACACACAGCCAUGACGAGUCUUUGUAUCUAUGAAUGAAGAAAAUUUAUAAUGACGGUCCAUAACCUUGAACAGAAAUGAUAUAUUGAAGACCGAAGCUUACCUUUUUUAAGGACGCGGUUAUUUAAGCCGGGCACAUGGCUGCUCACGCAGCUAGCCAGCUAGGCGUGACUAAACCCCCAACUAAGCGGGCCCAACACCGGAAAUUUUAAGUACAAAAAUAAUAAUUGGUGUUUACACAACCUACAAGCCCAACAUGGACAAAAUGAUCGACCUGCAUGUCCGUGCAUGUACUUGGUGUUUUGGUCACAAAACCCUAUUCCCAAAAGUUUUAGGAAUAGGGUUUUGUGAUCGUAAAUGACAAAAAUUGAGGACCCACUGUCACUGUUUGCGGGGGCGUCUCGAAGCCUAUGGACGUAUAUGGACCUGGAUUAGGCAAUUUCUGCUGUAGGUACUCUUAGAGCAACUCUAGCCCAUACUAUAAAAGUCUCUAAACUGUAAAUUUUCAGGAAGUAUAUGUGUUUGGACCGUUUUUGUGGCCACAUUAAACCCCGUAUACUCGGCCCGGCCCGUAAAUGUUUUAUGCUGGCCCGCCAACGCCCCCCGCCGCUCAUGAUAUUUUUGCAAGUCCUCAAGGUCGAUACGGGUACGGACCCUAUCCAUCCGCUAGAGUGAAAUCCCCAUUUCUCACCACAUUUCUCGUCGCCGGUGUGUCAAAUCCACCGCCCACUCACCGAUCCACGAGAUGUGGAACUCUGGUCGGCGCGGCGGCGAUGACCUCGUGCACAGGCGUUGCGUCAGAGCGAAUGUGUCACGGAGGAGCUCCACCCUGCGGUACACUCAUCACGGGCUAACGCAGUCGCCGUUGCUCCUCCGCCACGAGACGGAGGAGUACGACCGCCCGCGUGCGCGGCUCUUCUCCUACGGAUGCAUCUCCUCCGGGGCGUCCAGCUUGCACUUCUCUUUCACCCCGAUUAAGUGGGAGCUGGAGGAGCUCCCCCUAGUCCGUGCGCUGAAAAGGAAGCCGGAGCCGAGGCGGGGCGAAAGCGACGGGACGGUGGCAUUGUCUAGCCGGAGGACUUGCUCCUACCGACGAAGGCGGGGGCGAUUUUGGCCGCGAUGCUCGCGUGUAGUGCACGGGAGGAGGAACAGGAGCGGCAGGCCGCCGGUGGGAGGAGGAGAUCGGCGCCGUGCUUUACGAGCAGGGCCUCGCAUUGGCCCUCGUGUUCGACGAGAAGGAGGAGGAGUGGCGCCAUGAGUCCGCUGAGCAGGAUAGCAUCUUCGUCGAUCUCACCUUCAACUCCGACUCCGGUUGAGCGCCGCUCGGCUUCGGUGAGCUCGAAGGUCAGCUACCGCACCAUACGAGGUCCGAUGAGCUUGAUUUUGGCCAGUUCUUGGGUAGGGUAGCUCCGACGAGCUUUUUAUGUAAUAUAUCUAUGCUAUGUAUGAACGAUAUGCACCUAUGUAUGAAGAAUAUGUCCAUUUUGCGUUAUAAUUUGUUGCAUGAAACUUAUUUUUAAAUUUUUUUGUUCAGGUUACAAUUUCUUUUGUGACGUGGCGAUUUUGCAUCCGUUAGACCCCAUUCUCAGUGUCAAAACUGGCGGAUCUCGGGUAGGGGGUCCCGAGCCUGGAUCUUGGAUCAACGGGGAACAGAAAAACACAGAGACAAUAGUUACCUAGGUUCGGGCCGUCUCGAAGAGGUAAAACCGUACGUCCUGCUUGAUUAUAUUGAUGAGUGUAUGACCAUUACAGAGUCGAUCUACCACGAGAUCAGAUGUACUAAACAUUAGAUGAUGGUUUUGUCGUCUUCGAACUAAAACCCUCUAGUUUAUAUUGACCCUAGGGGUACCUACGAUUACAUAUGGUCGAUUAUCAGCAGGGAAUAAACAUGUCGAUUCUGCAUCUUGACUUGGAGCACACACCAAGGCUUCAGAGGUUUCCUUCCUGGUGCCAUCUUAUAGUUCGGCCCUUCAGUAGUAGUCACAAAGCGGCCCACCUGUCCGGCCCAUAGAGAUAGAUUGGCGGCCCGAGGACCCCUUAGUCCCGAGCUCCACGAGAGUAUGGACUCGGACCGGAUGAGAGCAGAGAUGAGGCUUGAAAUUGAGAGGGAGAAUAUCGAGUUGGGAAAGUAAGCGACGACGACCAAAUGGGAACUCAAGAAGGCCAAGUAAUUUGAGAGAUUAAGCUCAAGAAGGAGAGGUUGCAACUCGCAUGAGACACGGAGAAUGUGAAGAUCUUGUUGACGGACGAAUCCGUCUUGGAUAAGCAUACCAGAAAUGGCUUAAGGAGAAGAAGAAGGAGAUCAACGUCCAUAGAGAUAAGGAGGCAGCGAGGGUGUCUGCAGCAGAGGAUCAAGCGGCCAGGAUGUAGGUGGAGGAGGCAGUCAGGAUGCAGGUGGAGGAGUCAGCCACGAUGCACGGGGAGAUGGUUGCCCGCAUGGACGCACAGAUGGUUGCGUGGACGGAGCAGGACGCAUGAACGAACUCGUCCGGCCAGUGAUCGGACAAGCACACCCUUGCCACUCGGACAUUGAUUUCAUUUUGACAUGUCCGAUUUGUUGAAGUAUGAUUUCAUUUGCUUUUGUUUUGAAUUGUUGAAUUUGAACAAUUUGUAUCGCAUGAUCGACGUCCGUGAAUUACAUCGAUUUGUGGAUUGUAUUUAAGAUAUGUGAAUGUACGACGCAACAUAUAAGGGUUCGAUGGAUGGCGUGCGCGGACGCGUCCGGACACGCCCGCGAACAUAUAAGGGCUGGAUUGAUCGUCAAGUCCGACUAUAGAUGCUCUAACUUUAGUACAACUAAACAACUGUAUGAUUGAAACCAACAAAUAAAACAACCGGGAUAGAAUAAAAAAUUCAGAAGAUUGCAAUUCUCCAAAAAUUUCAUGAAAAUCCUUUUUCAUGAGACCGUAAGAGCAACUCCAACGGGGCGACCCAAAUGGAUACGUAUUUUGUCCGUUUUUCAUCCGUUUGGGUCACCUUCCGCUUAACGGACAUGGGGCGGACACGCACGGAUGGUUUGUGCUUCUAAUGCGCACACACAAAAACGAAGUCGGUCCUCGUCGCGCCGAUCCUCCUCUCGUCAUCGCGCCGCCUCAUUGGUGGCCUCUUCGCCUUGCCGAUGGCCUCUCUUCUCAAGCCCUCCGACCCCCUUCGCCUCGCCCCUUCGUCCCUCGCGCCAUCGCCGGAUCUAGCCGGUGCCGAAGUCGGGGGCUCGCUCUGCCACGGGCUCCAACUCCCCAUGACCUCCAGCGCGAGCGUUAGUUGCUCUAGCGAGGGAUGUGGCGGUAUGUGCUGGUGGACUCUCUCCUCGCGCCCUCCGACCCCCUUCGCGCCGCCCCUCUGCCCCCUCGCACCAUCGUCGGAUCUUGUCAGGGGCUCGCUCCGUUGCGGGCUCCACCUCCCCAUGAGCUCCAGCGCGAGCGCCUAUUGCUGAGAUGUGGGACCAAGGCGAACACGAGCGGACGACAUGGUCAAUGGAAGCGCCCGAUUCUGUCCACUUCGUACCCAUCUGAUCCCAUAUUUGGGCUAAGUUUGGGUCAGGGAGGAAAAUAGACGGACAACAUGCGGACAUGCACGUCCGUUUGGAUCGUCCCAUUGGGCCAAGUAUUGUGUACGGGCGACUCAAACGGACAAAAUGGAUCAUUGAAAGGACGUGGAUGUCGCCUAGAGGGGGUGAAUAGGCGCUUUUAAAAUAACUAUGGUUUAGGCUUGAACAAAUGCGGAAUAAAACUAAUGUUUAAUUUGUCAAGCACAAAACCUAAAACAACCAGGCUCACCUAUGUGCACCAACAACUUUUGCUAAGGAAGAUAAACAACGAAGUGAUAGCGAGAAAUACAACAAGAAAUAAUAUGGCUAUCACAAAUUAAAGUGCAUAAGCAAAGAGCUCGGGUGAGAGAUAACCAUGCCACGCGGAGACGACGAUGUAUCCCGAGGUUCACACCCUUGCGGAUGCUAAUCUCAGUUUGAAGCGGUGUGGAGGCACAAUGCUCCCCAAUAUGCCACUUGUUGGAAAUAUGCCCUAGAGGCAAUAAUAAAUUAGUUAUUAUUAUAUUUCUUAGUUCAUGAUAAUCGUUUAUUAUCCAUGCUAUAAUUGUAUUGAAUGAAGACUUAUAUACAUGUGUGGAUACAUAGACAAAACACUGUCCCUAGCAAGCCUCUAGUUGGCUAGUCAGUUGAUCAAAGAUAGUCAGGGUCUUCUGAUUAUGAACAAGGUGUUGUUGCUUGAUAACUGGAUCACGUCAUUAGGAGAAUCACGUGAUGGACUAGACCCAAACUAAUAGACGUAGCAUGUUGAUCGUGUCAUUUUGUUGCUACUGUUUUCUGCGUGUCAAGUAUUUGUUCCUAUGACCAUGAGAUCAUAUAACUCACUGACACCAGAGGAAUGCUUUGUGUGUAUCAAACGUCGCAACGUAACUGGGUGACUAUAAAGAUGCUCUACAGGUAUCUCCGAAGGUGUUAGUUGAGUUAGUAUGGAUCGAGACUGGGAUUUGUCACUCCGUGUGACGGAGAGGUAUCUCGGGGCCCACUCGGUAAUACAACAUCACACACAAGCCUUGCAAGCAAUGUAACUUAGUGUAAGUUGCGGGAUCUUGUAUUACGGAACGAGUAAAGAGACUUGCCGGUAAACGAGAUUGAAAUAGGUAUGCGGAUACUGACGAUCGAAUCUCGGGCAAGUAACAUACCGAAGGACAAAGGGAAUGACAUACGGGAUUAUAUGAAUCCUUGGCACUGAGGUUCAAACGAUAAGAUCUUCGUAGAAUAUGUAGGAUCCAAUAUGGGCAUCCAGGUCCCGCUAUUGGAUAUUGACCGAGGAGUCUCUCGGGUCAUGUCUACAUAGUUCUCGAACCCGCAGGGUCUGCACACUUAAGGUUCGACGUUGUUUUAUGCGUAUUUGAGUUAUAUGGUUGGUUACCGAAUGUUGUUCGGAGUCCCGGAUGAGAUCACGGACGUCACGAGGGUUUCCGGAAUGGUCCGGAAACGAAGAUUGAUAUAUAGGAUGACCUCAUUUGAUUACCGGAAGGUUUUCGGAGUUACCGGGAAUGUACCGGGAAUGACGAAUGGGUUCCGGGAGUUCACCGGGGGGGGCAACCCACCCCGGGGAAGCCCAUAGGCUUUGGGGAGACACACCAGCCCUUAGUGGGCUGGUGGGACAGCCCAAAAGGGCUCUAUGCGCCAAGAAGAAGAAAAUCAAGAGAAAAGAAAAAAAAGGAGGAGGUGGGAAGGAAGGGGGACUCCCUCCCACCAAACCAAGUCCAACUCGGUUUGGGGGGGAGUCCUCCCCCCUUGGACUCGGCCGACCCCCUUGGGGCUCCUUGAGCCCCAAGGCAAGGUCCCCUCCCUCCCACCUAUAUAUACGGAGGUUUUAGGGCUGAUUUGAGACGACUUUUCCACGGCAGCCCGACCACAUACCUCCACGGUUUUUCCUCUAGAUCGCGUUUCUGCGGAGCUCGGGCGGAGCCCUGCUGAGACAAGGUCAUCACCAACCUCCGGAGCGCCGUCACGCUGCCGGAGAACUCUUCUACCUCUCCGUCUCUCUUGCUGGAUCAAGAAGGCCGAGAUCAUCGUCGAGCUGUACGUGUGCUGAACGCGGAGGUGCCGUCCGUUCGGUACUAGAUCGUGGGACUGAUCGCGGGAUUGUUCGCGGGGCGGAUCGAGGGACGUGAGGACGUUCCACUACAUCAACCGCGUUCACUAACGCUUCUGCUGUACGAUCUACAAGGGUACGUAGAUCACUCAUCCCCUCUCGUAGAUGGACAUCACCAUGAUAGGUCUUCGUGCGCGUAGGAAAUUUUUUGUUUCCCAUGCGACGUUCCCCAACAGUGGCAUCAUGAGCUAGGUUCAUGCGUAGAUGUCUUCUUGAGUAGAACACAAAUGUUUUUGUGGGCGGUGAUGUGCGUUUUGCUGCCCUCCUUAGUCUUUUCUUGAUUCCGCGGUAUUCUUGGAUUGAAGCGGCUUGGACCGACAUUACUCGUACGCUUACGAGAGACUAGUUUCAUCGCUACGAGUAACCCUGUUGCUCAAAGAUGACUGGCAAGUGUCAGUUUCUCCAACUUUAGUUGAAUCGGAUUUGACCGAGGAGGUCCUUGGAUGAGGUUAAAUAGCAACUCAUAUAUCUUCGUUGUGGUGUUUGCGUAAGUAAGAUGCGAUCCUACUAGAUACCCAUGGUCACCACGUAAAACAUGCAACAACAAAAUUAGAGGACGUCUAACUUGUUUUUGCAGGGUAUGCUUGUGAUGUGAUAUGGCCAACGAUGUGAUGUGAUAUAUUGGAUGUAUGAGAUGAUCAUGUUGUAAUAGUUAAUAUCGACUUGCACGUCGAUGGUACGGCAACCGGCAGGAGCCAUAGGGUUGUCUUUAAACUAACGUUUGUGCUUGCAGAUGCGUUUACUAUAUUGCUAGGACGUAGCUUUAGUAGUAAUAGCAUGAGUAGCACGACAACCCCGAUGGCGACACGUUGAUGGAGAUCAUGAUGAUGGAGAUCAUGGUGUGACGCCGGUGACAAGAAGAUCGUGCCGGUGCUUUGGUGAUGGAGAUCAAGAAGCACGUGAUGAUGGCCAUAUCAUGUCACUUAUGAAUUGCAUGUGAUAUUAAUCCUUUAUGCACCUUAUCUUGCUUAGAACGGCGGUAGCAUUAUGAGGUGAUCUCUCACUAAAAUUUCAAGACGAAAUUGUGUUCUCCCCGACUGUGCACCGUUGCGACAGUUCUUCGUUUCGAGACACCACGUGAUGAUCGGGUGUGAUAGACUCAACGUUCACAUACAACGGGUGCAAAACAGUUGCACACGCGGAACACUCGGGUUAAGCUUGACGAGCCUAGCAUGUGCAGACAUGGCCUCGGAACACAUGAGACCGAAAGGUCGAGCAUGAAUGGUAUAGUUGAUAUGAUUGGCAUAGAGAUGCUUACCACUGAAACUAUUCUUGACUCACGUGAUGAUCAGACUUGAGAUAGUGGAUUUGGAUCAUGUACCACUCAAAUGACUAGAGAGAUGUACUUUUUGAGUGGGAGUUCUUAAGUGAUAUGAUUAAUUGAACUAAUUGUCAUGAACAUAGUCUAAUGGUCUUUACGAAUUACGAUGUAGCUUGCCCUACAGCUCUACUGUUUUUAUGUGUUCCUACAGAAAAUUUAGUUGAAAGUUGAUAGUAGCAAACUUUGAAGAGGAUUGUCCUCGUUGCUGCGCAGAAGGCUUACGUCCUUAAUGCACCACUCAGUGUGCUGCACCUCGAGCGUCGUCUGUGGAUGCUGUGAACAUCCGACAUACACGUUUCUGAUGACUACACGAUAGUUCAGUGCAAAAUACUUAAAUGGCUUAGAAGCAAGGCGCCGAAGACGUUUUGGAACGUCACGGAACAUAAGUGAUGUUCUAAAGAGAUGAAAUUGUGAUUUCAUGCUUGUGCCCUUGUUAAGAGGUACGAGACCUCCGACAAGAUUCUUUGUCCACAAAAUAAAGGAGAAAAGCUCAAUCGUUGAGCAUGUGCUCAGAUUGUCUGAGUACGACAAUCGCUUGAAUCAAGUGGGGGUUAAUCUUCCAGAUGAGAUAGUGAUAGUUCUCCAAAGUCACUGCCACCAAGCCGUGAGAGCUUCGUGAUGAACUAUAACAUAUCAAGGAUAGAUACAAUGAUCUUUGAGUGAUUCACGAUGUUUGACACUGCGAAAGUAGAAAUCAACAAGGAGCGUCAAUAGUUGAUGGUUAGUAAAACCACGAAGUUUCGAGAAAGGCAAGGGCUAGAAGGGAUACUUCGUGAAAACGGCAAAACAGUUGCUGCACUAAUGAAGAGACCCAAGAUUAAACCCAAACCUGAGACUAAGUGCUUCUGUAAUGAGGGGAACAGUCACAGAGGCGGAGCAACUCUAGAUACUUGGUAGAUAAGUAGGCUGGCAAAAGUCGAAAGAAGUAUAUUUGAUAUACAUGAUGUGUACUUUAUUAGUACUCCUAGUAGCAUGAGGGUAUUGGAUACCGGUUCGGUUGCUAAGUGAUUAGUAACACGAAAUGAUAGCAAUGGCAUAAAUGGAGACUAGCUAAAGGCGAGGUGACGAUACGUGUUGGAAGUGUUUCCAAGAUUGAUAUGAUCAAAACGUCGCACGCUCCCUCUACCAUCGGGAUUGGUGUUAAACCUAAAUAAUUGUUAUUUGGUGCUUGCGUUAAGCAUGAACAUGAUUGGAUCAUGUUUAUUGCAAUACGAUUAUUCAUUUAAAGAGAAUAAUGGUUACUCUAUUUGCUUGAAUAAUCACCUUCAAUGGUUUAUUGAAUCUCGAUCGUAGUGUUACACAUGUUCAUGAUAUUGGUGCCAAAAGACACGAGGUAAUAAUGAUAGUACCACUUACUUGUGGCACUGCCGCUGGAGUCAUGUUGGUAUAAAUUGCAUGAAGAGGCUCCAUGCUGAUGGAUCUUUAUACUCACUUGAUUUUGAAUCACUAGUGACAUGCAAAUCAUACCACAUGAGCAAGGCCUUGUUUUUCAUUGAGAUGAAACAAGAUAGUAACUUGUUGGAAGUGAUGCAUUUUGACGUAUGCAGUCCAAUGGGUGCUGAGGCACGCAGUGGAUAUCAUUAUGUUCUUACUUCAAUGAAUAUUUGAGCAGAUACAAGACUAUUUGCUUAAUGAAUCACAAGUCUGAAAUAUUGAAAAGUUCAAUUCUGUUUCAGAGUGAAGUUCGUCGUAACAAAAGGAUAAACUGUCUAUGAUAUGAUCAUAGAAAUGAAUAUCUGAGUUACGAGUUUUGGUACGCAGUUAAGACAAUGUGGAAAUUGUUUCGCAGUUCAUGCCACCUGGAACAUCAUAGUGUGAUGAUGUGUCUGAACGUCAUAGCCACGCACUAUUUGGUAUGGUGCAUACUAUGAUGUCUCUUAUCAAAAUACCACUAUCGUUUAUGGGUUAUGCAUUAGAGACAACCACAUUCACUUUAAAAUAGGGCACCGUGUAUUUCCGUUGAGAUGACACAGUAUAGACUGAGGUUUAGAGAAAUCUAAACUGUCGUUUCUUGAAAGUUUGGGGCUUCGACACUUAUGUGAAAAAGUUUCAGUCUGAUAAGCUCGAACCCAAAGCGGAUAAAUGCAUCUUCAUAGGAUAUCCAAAACAGUUGGGUACAUCUCCUAUCUCAGAUCCGAAAGCAAAGUGUUUGUUUCCAGAAACGGAUCCUUUCUCGAGGAAAGGUUUCUCUCGAAAGAAUUGAGUGGGAGGGUGGUAGAAUUUGAUGAGGUUAUUGAACCGUCACUUCGACCAGUGUGUAGCAGGGCGCAGGAAGUUGUUCCUGUGGCGCCUACACCAAUUGAAGUGAAAGCUGAUGAGGGUGAUCAUCGAGCAUCAGAUCAAGUUACUACAAACCUCGUAGGUUGACAAGGUCACGUACUAGUGCAGAGUGGUACGGUAACCCUGUCUUGGAGGUCACGUUGUUGAGCAACAGUGAACCUACGAGUUAUGGAGAAGCAAUGGUGGGCCCGGAUUCCGACAAAUGGCUUGAGGCCAUGAAAUCCGAGAGAGGAUCCAUAUAUAAAACAAAGUGUAGACUUUGGAGGAACUACUUGAUGGUAGUAAGACUAUUGAGUAAAGAUGGAUCUUUGUAAGGAAGACAUACGACGAUGGUGAUAAGUCACUAUUAAGAAAAGCUUGACUUGUCGCAAAGAUGUUUCUGACAAGAUCAAACAGUUGACUAUGAUGAGACUUUCUCACUCGUAGCGAUGCUAAUAGUCUGUUGGAAUUAUGUUAGUAGUUGCUGCAUUAUUUAUAAAAUAUUGCACAUAGGAUGUCAAAACAUUGUUUCCUCAAUGGUUUCCUUGAGCAAACAUUGUAUGUGAUACAACCAGAAGGUUUUGUCGAUCCUAAAGAUACUAACAAGUAUGCAAGCUCCAGUGAUCCUUCAAUGGACUGGUGCAAGCAUCUCGGAGUUGGAAUAUACACUUUGAUGAGGUGAUCAAAGAUUUUGGGUUUGUACAAGGUUUAUGAGAAACUUGUAUUUCCAAAGAAGUGAGUGGGAGCACUAUAGUAUUUCUGAUAAGUAUAUGUGGUUGACAUAUUGUGGAUCAGAAGUAAUGUAGAAUUUCUGUAAAGCAUACAAGGUUAUUUGAAAGGUUUUUCAAAGGAAUACCUCGAUUGAGCUACUUGAACAUUGAGCAUCAAGAUCUAUGGAGAUAGAUCAAAACACUUAAUAGAAGUUUCAACAAAAUGCAUGCCUUGACAAGUUUUGAAGGAGUUCAAAAUAGAUCAGCAAAGGAGUUCUUGGUUGCGUUGUGAGGUGUGAAUUUGAGUAAGACUCAAAACCCGACCACGGCAGAAUAAAGAGAAUAGACGAAGGUCGUCUUCUGUGCCUUAGCCGAAGACUCUAAAGUAUGCCAUGCUGAGUACCGCACAUGAUGUGUGCCUUGCACUCUCAUGAGAGGUACAGAGAGUGAUCCAUGAUUGAAUCACUAGCAGCGGUCAAAAUUUAUCCUUAGUAACUGAUAGACUAAGGAAUUUUUCUCGAUUAUGGAGGUGGUUAAAGAGUUCAUCGUAAAGGGUUACGUUGAUGCAAGCUUUGACACUAAUCCGAAUAACUAUGAGUAGUGAAACGGAUUCAUAUAGUAGAGUAGAUAUUUGGAGUAUUUCCGAAUAGCCCAUAGUAGCAGCAUCUAUAAGAUGACAUAAAGAUUUGUAAAGAACACACGGACCUGAAAGUUUCAGAACCGUUGACUAAAACCUCUCUCACGAGCAAGACGUGAUCAGACCCCAUAAAUAUAUGGGUGUUGGAUUCGUUGGAAUCACAUGGUGAUGUGAACUAGAUUAUUGACUCUAGUGCAAGUGGGAGACUGUUGGAAAUAUGCCCUAGAGGCAAUAAUAAAUUAGUUAUUAUUAUGUACGGGCGACUCAAACGGACAAAAUGGAUCAUUGAAAGGACGUGGAUGUCGCCUAGAGGGGGUGAAUAGGCGCUUUUAAAAUAACUAUGGUUUAGGCUUGAACAAAUGCGGAAUAAAACUAAUGUUUAAUUUGUCAAGCACAAAACCUAAAACAACCAGGCUCACCUAUGUGCACCAACAACUUUUGCUAAGGAAGAUAAACAACGAAGUGAUAGCGAGAAAUACAACAAGAAAUAAUAUGGCUAUCACAAAUUAAAGUGCAUAAGCAAAGAGCUCGGGUGAGAGAUAACCAUGCCACGCGGAGACGACGAUGUAUCCCGAGGUUCACACCCUUGCGGAUGCUAAUCUCAGUUUGAAGCGGUGUGGAGGCACAAUGCUCCCCAAUAUGCCACUUGUUGGAAAUAUGCCCUAGAGGCAAUAAUAAAUUAGUUAUUAUUAUAUUUCUUAGUUCAUGAUAAUCGUUUAUUAUCCAUGCUAUAAUUGUAUUGAAUGAAGACUUAUAUACAUGUGUGGAUACAUAGACAAAACACUGUCCCUAGCAAGCCUCUAGUUGGCUAGUCAGUUGAUCAAAGAUAGUCAGGGUCUUCUGAUUAUGAACAAGGUGUUGUUGCUUGAUAACUGGAUCACGUCAUUAGGAGAAUCACGUGAUGGACUAGACCCAAACUAAUAGACGUAGCAUGUUGAUCGUGUCAUUUUGUUGCUACUGUUUUCUGCGUGUCAAGUAUUUGUUCCUAUGACCAUGAGAUCAUAUAACUCACNNNNNNNNNNNNNNNNNNNNNNNNNNNNNNNNNNNNNNNNNNNNNNNNNNNNNNNNNNNNNNNNNNNNNNNNNNNNNNNNNNNNNNNNNNNNNNNNNNNNNNNNNNNNNNNNNNNNNNNNNNNNNNNNNNNNNNNNNNNNNNNNNNNNNNNNNNNNNNNNNNNNNNNNNNNNNNNNNNNNNNNNNNNNNNNNNNNNNNNNNNNNNNNNNNNNNNNNNNNNNNNNNNNNNNNNNNNNNNNNNNNNNNNNNNNNNNNNNNNNNNNNNNNNNNNNNNNNNNNNNNNNNNNNNNNNNNNNNNNNNNNNNNNNNNNNNNNNNNNNNNNNNNNNNNNNNNNNNNNNNNNNNNNNNNNNNNNNNNNNNNNNNNNNNNNNNNNNNNNNNNNNNNNNNNNNNNNNNNNNNNCUGGAUCAAGAAGGCCGAGAUCAUCGUCGAGUUGUACGUGUGCUGAACGCGGAGGUGCCGUCCGUUCGACACUAGAUCGUGGGACUGAUCGCGGGACGGUUCGCGGGGCUGAUCGAGGGACGUGAGGACGUUCCACUACAUCAACCGCGUUCACUAACGCUUCUGCUGUACGGUCUACAAGGGUACGUAGAUCACACAUCCCCUCUCGUAGAUGGACAUCACCAUGAUAGGUCUUCGUGCGCGUAGGAAAUUUUUUGUUUCCCAUGCGACGUUCCCCAACAGCACUAAGGCCACCGUAAUCUCCUCACGCCCUCGCACAAUGCAAGUUGUCGUGAUUCCACUAAGGGACCCUUGAGGGCGGUCACCGAACCCGUACAAACAAGGUUGGGGCAAUCUUCACAACUUAAUUGAAGGCUCCGAACAACACCAGGAAGCUUCAUCACAAUGGCAUAUGGCUUCGAGGUGACACAAAUGCUCGGCGCAAUCUCCACAACUUAAUUGGAGAUCUGGCGCUUUCCCGGAGCUUUACACCACAAUGAUUAAGCUUCGAGGCACCACCAAACUGCUAAGACGCCAAAGCAUCCACGAAGAACAAUAACUAGGGUACCAAGUACCAAAGGGUAAUAAGCUUCUCAAACUUCACGUGCACGCAUCACCGUGGAGAAGUCAAACAUAUGCACCAAAUGCAAUGGCAAGGGCACACGGAAUGCCCAAGUCCUUCACUCCCGAAUCCCACCACAACUACUAAUGCUAUGGUGUAAAAUGAGCGGAAGAACAAAGAAGAACACCAAGAACUCAAAAAACUAGAUCCAAGGGGUUCCCCUCACUUAAAGGAGAAAGUGAUUGGUGGAAGUGUGGAUCUAGAUCUCCUCUCUCUUUUCCCACAAAAAAGGAGCAAGAAUCAUUGGAGGGAUUGAGAGUUAGCAAGCUCAAAGAAGGUCAACAAUGGGGGAAGAACACGAGCUCAACAGAUAAGAACCAUUGGAGAAGAAGACCCCCUUUAUAUAGUGGGCAAAAGAAUCCAACCAUUACCCCCACUUACAUCCCGAGCAAAGCGGUACUACCGCUCCCCCAUGCAGUACUACCGCUGCCCGGUGUUGUACUACUGCACGCACGGUAGUGGCAGAGGGAGGAACUAUUGCACGGGGCAACGAGCGGUAGAACCACCGAAGUGGUACUACCGCACGCCCUUAAGGUACUAUCGCAUGGUAGUAUCCAACUGCCACAGAAGGUACACGGAAGUAAAAACUUACUUCCGUGUUUACCUCGGGUGAGGCUACGGCUGUGCAAAAAUCUGACACUGUAGUACCGGACACGGUUUUGUGGUACUACUGCUCGAGGGCGGUAGUAAAAAACUAUGUCCGCUCUUUACACAGCGGAAGUACCGGGCGGUACUUCCGUGGUACCGAGCGGUACUACCGUAGUACCGAGCGGUACUACCGCAUGUUUAGAGAAAAACAGCUAUGGAACUGAAACUACCAUAACCUUUGCAUACGAGCUCCGAAUCGAGCGAACUCAAACUUGUUGAAUUCAGGAUGACAAGAGCUAUCCAAAUAGCGACUACAAAUCUUAAGAACAUGGAGUUGUGAAAAUGCCAAUUAUAUAGAGAUGUAAGACCUCUAUGAAUAAAGAACCGACAAAAAUUCCAACAUCGAAAACAUCGUAGAAGAUGCAUAUGGACUCUGUUUUCGAUGAACUCGAGCUUGUCAUGAAAAUAACCAUAAACUCUAAAACUCACAAAGAGAAACACCAAACAAGAACCAAAAACUAUGAUGCAAGGAUGCAAAUAGUUUGAGGUGUCAACGAACGAUACGAUCAAGCUACUCACUUGGGAGCCCCCUUGACAGUACAACAAUCUAUCCUGAAAUAGAAAAAACCUAUCAAGGGCAAACAUAUACCUUGCACCUAGUUCUCUUGAGCUAGAUGACGAUGAUCUUGACUUCCUCAAGAUGGACCACCUUUGUUGAUUGCGUUGGUUUGACGAAGACUAGUUGAUUGCUCUCCCAUACUCACUAUGGGUGAGCUACUCUUCAGCACAUCUUUACAAGUCCAUUGUCACCACAAUGAACGGCAAGCUUCAAGCAUGAUAUCUUCAUGAUGCUCCACUUGAACUUGCACAACACAAUCUUGAUGACGAUCGCCACUUAAUGGCAUCCUUUAUAGGCUGAAUGAGAUCUUCCUCUUGACACAAACCCAUGGAAACACACCUAAGCCCACAUAGAACUCUCACGGAGACCAUGGGUUAGUACACAAAAGCGUUAUGGACAAUGCUUACCAUACCAUGGGAUCACUUGAUCCCUCUCGGUACAUCUUGUAUGCUUUGUCUGUUGAUUAUCUUGAUUUACUCUUUGCUUAGUCUUGGUCAACCUUGUGUCUUUAUGAACAAUCUUUAGAUAAUACUUUGAAUAACACCUUGGUCAUCAUAUAAACUCCUUGAAACAACAGAUGGACUUCAAAAAGUGCCCAUAGACAAAUCCUUUAAAUAUAACUCAAUGCAAUCAUUAGUCCAUAAAAAUUGUUAUCAAUUACUAAAACCACAUACGGAGAAAUAUGCUCUAAUAAUCACCCAGUUGGAGUUGCUCUAAGAAGGCCGAAUCCUGAAUGUCCGAGUGAGAAUUAUGAUACUGUGAUUUUUCAGAUUAUUUGAAUGUUUCGUACUUUCGUUUUGUUUCUUCAGCGGUAUAUCACGUCUCCUCUAGUCAUCGCCGAGUCAGUGGAAACUGUGUGAGCGAGCAAUGGCCACGCUGGAAGAUGUCGACGUGCAACGGAGGAGAUGUGACCGGUCAGCACCAAGCACGCGGUGACUCAGUUGCAUACGGAGCACCUCAUAUCGUUGUGUCGUCAUUCUCACCUUGAAAAAAAAAA
rnacentral:lncRNA from 1 species